ACCCGACUGCCUGAGAAACCCCUAGGUAGCAAAGCUGAAUCACUGAAUCACUGAAACUUGGAACUGAACCAAUGAGGCUGGGCCAUUCCUUGUAUGAGCUUGCUGAGAACUAACCCCUGCAUUUGACUGCCUUGGAAAAGCCAUUGCUCCCGUUGGCUGGUUGUAGGCAUGUGCCAUACCCCUUGGAAACUUGCACCAAAUAACACCUUGAAGUCACUCCUAGCAUGCUGCUUUGGCAGAAACUCUGUGGACAGGACCCUUUAAUCUCCUCCAGUGAAAUUCACCCCCAUCACACACAGGACAGCAAAUUAAGGAGAGACUGUCAUCUGGCAUCUCAGCAGACUUCUGCCACCUGCAAGGGCAGGCUAAGUCAGACAUCUCUACUCAUUCAUGACUGCAAAGCUUCUUAUGCAGUCUAGGCCUUCUACUGGACCAAGGACUGGAAUGUCUCCUCUCAUUUAUUUGUUUGUUUUCUGGACCAGAGAUUAACAAAUCAUUACAUGCCCUAGGAUCAAGGGGACGC